rnacentral:rRNA from 1 species
CCCUUAGAUGUUCUGGGCCGCACGCGCGCUACACUGACGGAGCCAACGAGUAUUUUCCUUGUCCGGAAGGACUGGGUAAUCUUGUGAAACUUUGUCGUGCUGGGGAUAGAGCAUUGUAAUUAUUGCUCUUCAACGAGGAAUUCCUAGUAAGCACAAGUCAUCAGCUUGUGUUGAUUACGUCCCUGCCCUUUGUACACACCGCCCGUCGCUCCUACCGAUUGAAUGUUCCGGUGAGCUCUUCGGACUGCGCGGUCUGCAGUUUCUGCGUUCCGUGCGGAAAGUUGCGCAAACCUUAACAUUUAGAGGAAGGAGAAGUCGUAACA